AAGAACAAUUGUUCGCUGUAUAAAAAAUAUUACUAUGGCUAUCACAAAAACUUGGGUGACUUUUUGUCUCGCAAUAAUUUUAGUGUCUUCGUUGUCAAAUCACAACGUUUUGACUUCAGGUGCAGAAAUGGAGAAGGUCCAACAUAAGUAUACGUUUUGCGCUAAAAGUCUGUGUACAGACUCGUACUCACCACGUAUGUGCUUCGUUGACUGUGUUUCUAAAGGGUUUCUAACCGGAGAUUGUAUUACUCCUCCCAAUUCUCCGUUACGUUGUUGUUGUGCCAAUGAAUGAAUUGAGCGUUGUAUUACAAUUUCCUGAGUAUAAGUUCAAUUCCUAAUGAACCCAACGAAAUAAAGCUAUUUCAUUAUAAUGAAAGUGUUUAACCAAUCAAUGUCAACGGAAUAAAACUAUUGAUUAUAAGAUAUAGUAAAGAUUGUCGUUCACGAAAAAAA